CUAUUACAAAUUUCCUGGUUAUGGGAGGAUUCCAGCUUCUUGCUAAGCCUGCCAUGUAAGCAAACCCACACCUUCCAGUUAUCAUUCUCUCCGCCAAAGAUGACAUUUUAUAGUGCUCUGUUUUCGAGUGCUCAGGGAAAGCUUUGACUUCAUCAUUUUACCAAACAAGUCAAAAUAUAAACUUUCAUGAUUUCCUAAAUAAAAACCAAGAGCUGUUGCAAGAUUUGUCAGAAGUGAAUGACGAAAACACUCAGUUGAUGGAAAUACUGAAUACUUUGUUUUUCUUGCCAAUCAGACGACUUCAUAAUUACGCAAAAGUUUUGCUAAAGCUUGCUACUUGUUUUGAAGUGGCAUCUCCAGAAUAUCAGAAACUGCAGGAUUCCAGUUCUUGUUAUGAGUGUCUUGCUCUCCAUCUCGGCAGGAAAAGGAAGGAAGCAGAAUACACACUGGGCUUCUGGAAGACCUUCCCCGGAAAAAUGACGGAUUCCUUGAGGAAGCCAGAGCG
rnacentral:ncRNA from 2 species